UAUUUCAAAAGUUCACAUUGUUAUUUUGUUAUUAUUACACUUGGUGUGCUUUUUAUGACCUUUACAAAUAUGGUCUUGUAAACCAUGAUGUGUAUGUGUGAUCUUUGAACAGCGCCUCUGUAGGCGGAACUUGGUACUGCACUUCUAUACACACUCGCGCCAAAUCUUACACAAUUUCGCGCCAUACAUUCAAUCGCGGGAAAACGUCCCUCAGACUGUGGACGUGACAGUCGCGCUUCAAGCAGUGAAACUCACAUCAAACAAUGAAUGAAUGGUGGUAAGAGUCAAAGCAGAGGAUUAAAUCAUUUGAAAGAUGCUGCUCAUCAUGUGAGGUUGGGGAAGGAUAAAGACAUGCUUAUGUGGAGGUACAUCAGUGACAUCAAAGAGUGUGUCAUGUGGAGGAGUUGACCUCUCCUGUAACAAACAUGAAAAAGCAAAGUCUCUUCAUGAGCCAUUAUCUUUGAAUUCUGAACAGAGUGAGCUUCAAAGAGGUUUGUCUAUGUAAUUGUCUUCUAAAUGUUGAUCUGAAGAGAUAUUUUCUUAUUGUUCCUGUAUCUGUGCAGUUAUUUUUAUAUAAUAAUACAUUUAAUAUGGGUGUAGUGAUACAUUAUUAUAUUGAGAAUCGCAAUAUAACAAUUCAAAUUUUUUUCUUUAGAUUAGCCUCUAUUCACACGGUGAGUAUUAUGCGUAAGAUUAAACGUUUACACAGUGGCAGUAUAAACUACUGUUGUUAAAUAAUGAAAAUAAUGCAAGUU